rnacentral:lncRNA from 1 species
UUAAAUAAACCUCCUUGUUGCAGCCACAAAACAUUCCACAGACAUCCAUACAACUCCAUUCACGCCAGAAUUCAUCCACCAUCCCUAACCGCACCUAUCCUUCACAAAACUCCAUAGUUUCUGGCCCCAAACCCCCCUAGCCGUGCCAUACACCCAUCCUAGACACUUUUCCACAUUCACCUCAUCAAAACCAUCCCAAACCUGCUACAUUCAUUCAAAAUUCCAGAAACCCUAGUUCUAUAAUCUGCCGCACCUUCCCACCAUUCUUGCCGAGCUUUCCACCAUCUUCCAUCCAUCCACCACUCAUCCACACUCAUCCUACAACCCUUGCCGUGCCUCUACACCCCCCAAAUUCCAUUCUACAUCAUCAAAACAAUCCAG